rnacentral:rRNA from 1 species
UACAGAGGGUGCAAGCGUUGUCCGGAAUCAUUGGGCGUAAAGCGCGCGUAGGCGGCCCGGUAAGUCCGUUGUAAAAGUCGAAGGCUCAACCUUCGAAAGCCGAUGGAUACUGCCGGGCUAGAGUCCGGAAGAGGCGAGUAGAAUUCCUGGUGUAGCGGUGGAAUGCGCAGAUAUCAGGAGGAAUACCCAUAGCGAAGGCAGCUCGCUGGGACGGUACUGACGCUGAGGCGCGAAAGCGUGGGGAGCGAACAGG